UGUGUGGUAAGUCAGUAUGUACUAGCAUAUCUCUAAGUGAUCUGGUGCGUCAUUUAUCAAAGCAGGAAAAGACCUCACAGCCUGGAAUAUUCAAUCUCACUGGGCAAAAGACAUAUACCACUUGAAUCAUGGGAAAAGAUUUUAAAAUUCGCAGCAUGCAGUUCAUUAAAAGAAAAUUCUAUGAAGAUGAUGUACCGAUGCUAUUUCACUCCAGUAAGCUUACUAAAAUGUAUAAAGAUACCUCUAAUUUAUGCUGGAAAUGUAAGGAUAUGGAAAGUCCUUUUUUUCUUUUUCAUAUGUCGUGGACAUGUAAAAAAGUAAAGGGCUUCUGGGAAAUUAUAAAAAAUGAACUUAAAAAAAUGUUUAAAAUUACGUUUGUUAAAAAAUCAGAGGCCUUUCUUAUUAGGUGUAAUAGGAGAAAAUAUGCCAAGGAAGCAAAAGAGACUGUUCAUUUAUGCGACUACAGCGGCCAGAUGCUACUAUCCCAGAUGUGGAAAGAAGAAAAGGUCCCAAGGAAAGAAGAAUGGAUAACUAAGAUGAGUGACUAUGUCGAAACGGCUAAACUAACCCUGAAGAUCAGGCACCAAGAUGAGAAAAAAAUCAAUCAAGAAUGGGAAAACUCAAUAGACACGUUUAAAUAACACUGUAAAAGAGGCAAAACAUUAGCAGGUUUGGUGUAACAUUUAUGAACUAAGAAUAGAAUUGGGGGGG
rnacentral:lncRNA from 1 species